rnacentral:rRNA from 1 species
UACGUAGGGGGCAAGCGUUGUCCGGAAUCAUUGGGCGUAAAGAGCGUGUAGGCGGUCCGGUAAGUCGGCUGUGAAAGUCCAGGGCUCAACCCUGGGAUGCCGGUCGAUACUGCCGGACUAGAGUUCGGAAGGGGCGAGUGGAAUUCCCGGUGUAGCGGUGAAAUGCGCAGAUAUCGGGAGGAACACCUAUGGCGAAGGCAGCUCGCUGGGACGUUACUGACGCUGAGACGCGAAAGCGUGGGGAGCAAACAGG